rnacentral:rRNA from 1 species
UACGUAGGGGGCUAGCGUUGUUCGGAAUUACUGGGCGUAAAGGGCGCGUAGGCGGCUGCUCAAGUCGGGUGUGAAAGCCCGGGGCUCAACCCCGGAACGGCACCCGAGACUGGGCGGCUCGAGACCGGGAGAGGUGGGUGGAAUACCCAGUGUAGAGGUGAAAUUCGUAGAUAUUGGGUGGAACACCGGUGGCGAAAGCGGCUCACUGGCCCGGUUCUGACGCUGAGGCGCGAAAGCGUGGGGAGCAAACAGG